ACCCUGGUGGCUCAGACGGUAAAGCGUCUGUCUACAAUGCAGGAGACCCAGGUUCGAGCCCUGGGUUGGGAA
rnacentral:tRNA from 1 species